GACGAACGCUGGCGGCGUGCUUAACACAUGCAAGUCGAACGGAAAGGCCCUGCUUUUGUGGGGUGCUCGAGUGGCGAACGGGUGAGUAACACGUGAGUAACCUGCCCUUGACUUUGGGAUAACUUCAGGAAACUGGGGCUAAUACCGGAUAUGAGCUCCAGCUGCAUGGUGGGGGUUGGAAAGUUUCGGCGGUUGGGGAUGGACUUGCGGCUUAUCAGCUUGUUGGUGGGGUAGUGGCUUACCAAGGCUUUGACGGGUAGCCGGCCUGAGAGGGUGACCGGCCACAUUGGGACUGAGAUACGGCCCAGACUCCUACGGGAGGCAGCAGUGGGGAAUAUUGCACAAUGGGCGGAAGCCUGAUGCAGCAACGCCGCGUGCGGGAUGACGGCCUUCGGGUUGUAAACCGCUUUCGCCUGUGACGAAGCGUGAGUGACGGUAAUGGGUAAAGAAGCACCGGCUAACUACGUG
rnacentral:rRNA from 1 species